AAAACAUUAGUUAUCCUCCCCACCGCCCCCUCAGUCCCUCACAUUUCUCUCCCCGUUCCCCAUUCUCCCAUGGUGGCCACACCCCUCACUCCACAGCCGGCCCUCUUCGUCACCAACGCCGGCGCUCCCUGGUCUGGCCGCCGCUCACCUUCGUCACCACCGUCGGUGCUUCCUGGUCAGUCCGCGGCUCCCCUUCGCAGCAGCUGCUCUUCCUCCCCUUCAUGUGGAAUCGCUCGAGGAAGUGGCCGAGGAGGCCCUCGAGCUCAGCAUACUCGCGCCAGCGCUAGGCGCCGACGGAGGUGGACGUGGAGGUGUGGCACUCGCACGCGCCUGCUCUACCCUGCACCUUCUCCGAAUCCGUUCGCCGAAGUGCUCGAGAAGGCGCUUGAGGUCGGCAUGCUCGCCGGCGACGCCGGGCCCCUCCCUCCUCCUGAUGCCCUCUCCGUCGCCGCCUUGAGCCUCUCCACCCUCUCCCGUGCGGUCGUCCGGGUCCAGAUUGCUGCACCUUCUGGUUGUGAGUGGAUCCAAGAGUCAGCAUGAUACAGUAUCUUUUCAAAAGAUGAUAGAUUAUCUUCAUGAAAGAAAGGAAGUUCGAGAAUUAUCAUUGAAGAGGAAUUCAGUGUCAUGUGUUUCUCAAGAGCUAAAAUGGAACAAGAAGUGCAAAACUGGCAAUUCUUUUUGUAAUACUAUUAAGCUCGUCAUGGUGGUUACCAUGAAUGAGUGUCUGGUUUAAUCUCUAGAAAAUUUCCCGAGGGAGGAAAAGGAGGUGCUGAAAGGGGAUGGGAGCAAGAAGUAUAAAUCGAAGAGUGUUCUGCGACAACUCAAGUCACCUUCGUAAAUUCUGGAAGCCAACUGUUUUGACACCAGGCAAAGGAGAUAGAGUGCAUUAUUUAGUCAGUUACAAAAAUGCAGUAGCCAAAAACACCAACCAUUUUCCACAUAAAAAACCAUUAAUUACCGUUCCCUCUCCAUUUGCCUCUUCAGAUCCUUAGGGUCUACAUCUAUGAUACAUUCUAGUUAGUUUAGCAUCUCACCAGUUAUCUGAAUAAUACAUAAGCAUCCAGUACAAGGGCAUUUUUACCUUCGUACAUGGCAUCUCAUCAGUUAUCUGAAUAAUAAAUAAGCAUGCAGUACAAGGGCACUUUUACCUUGGGACAUGGCCAGGGGUGUAUGUGGUACAUUUUUCCUGUCAUUAAGAAGUGCUGUUGAAGCCUCUUUCUUCUCACGGGCUUCACGAUGUCUUUUAAGAAUAUCAUCUUUAUUGCGUGCAUAAUACUCUUUUUUCCUCUGCCUCUUCAAUUCUUCAAGGUAUGUUAUAAAUACAUACCGCAACUUAGCACAUAAGCAACAGCAAAAUAGUAGCGCAAAGUAGGAACUGGUUGAUGAUAGUUACCCAAUGUCUGGUUGUUGCUUAUAUCCUGAAAUGGGGUGCGCGCCCCCGCACUAUUGGGAGAUGUCACACCUUCGCCUUCAUGUGAAUAUUCAUGCCAUUAAAUUUUGAGAAGCAUGGAAACUGUGGAAAUUAAUCAUGAACACAACCAUCAGAUGCAAACAUAGUACACUGUCCUUUCUCUUGAUAUUGUGUUUCAGCAGAGUUCUACUUUGACAUUAAAAUCAAUUUUGAAUGGCAGAUCCCCUUACUGGACCACAUUAAGUUGUUGGCCCUGCUAUUUAACGUCCAUGGUGAUGCUGAUGAUGAUCUUGGCAGGGAUUUAUGUAUCUGCCUGGGGUCUUGGCAUGUCCUUGAGCACGCAUCAGGUGAAAGGAAGAAGUUGAACCUGAAGAAGGGCAGGGAAGAAUUAUAGCUUUGUGUGGCCGGCUGGUUCAGGGGACGUGCAGGGCGGGCGCGGCUCCGCGGGUGCCGAGGCAGGCUCCUGAGCAGUGGCUAUCUCGCGGAUGGGCCACACUGCAAGGGCAGGUUCGUGGGCGCCCGCUAUCUCGCUGACGGAUUACACGCUGUGAGCAGCAACAAUCGGCGGUGGCGAUCUUGCAGGGAGGCGACCGAGCGGUGCAGUGCCGCGAGGUAUCGAUGCGGGCAGGAGACGGGGUUGGUGGGAGGCACCCUGAUCAAGGGCGAGGGAAGCUAAUUUAGUUGAGUUUCCUUAUUAGUUUGCGAUCACAAUUGCGUGAUUGUAGGGGACGUGGGCUGAUACUUGGAAUAUUCCUUCGGUGGUGGAGUACGGCCAGUCAUAGGAAUUUGCUAAGUGCACACCGUAGAUGUUGGGGAACGUUGCAGAAAACAAAAAUUUUCCUACUUGUUUCACCAAGAUCA